UGUUAUAUAAAUCUGCAGCUGCCCAUUCCUUUGAUGACAUGCCACACACUGAUCUUCCUAAUGGAGCCUAUUACAGUGGAACAGGGAAAUUGUGUUCCAAAGGCAUGAGGAUGGCAGUCCCUGAUGCGGAAUUCCAGUGAAAUUCCAGAG